AUGUUAGGUUAGGUUAGAUUACAGAAAUUACAGAAAAAGAGGGAUUGUCGUAUUUGAAGAAUUCUGGGCUUUAGCAAACGUCAACACACAAAGGGAUUUUAUAGCAAACUAUGUUGAGUACAAAAACAAAAUGAGACAACGCAGAAGACCAAUUAAUGAAGAAUCUGCUGAAACUAUAAGUAGGCGAUCAUUUACUUACACGUAUUGUUUGCCUAUUGAGCAAACCAAGAUCCAAGUUUGCAAGACAUUUUUUAUCAACACAUUAAAUAUAAGUGCUCAAGUGGUGAAAACAGUUUUUAAUAAGCUAGGAAGCGCUGGGGUGGUAAAAGAAGAUAGGAGAGGAAGAGCAUCAAAAAACAAACUUCUAGACGUUUUUGUGUCUAUUUUUUCAUCCAUUCUUUCGACGACGCCAACACGUGUUCGGUGCAUGCUAAGACAUGCAUAUAAGAAAAUUAAAAAAAAGUUUUAUAAUUACUUCGAACACAUAACAUAAAGCAGGAGAGCUCGCAAGGUCUAUAUUUAAUUUAAUCGUAAGGUUAAAGUGCAUUUAGGUUAUGUUACGAACCAUAUGAUAUUAUUAAGAACGUGCAGACAAUAUAAAAUAUUUCAAUUUAUAAAUAAUGUUAAAAAUAAAAAAACAAAAACCUUUAAUAAUAAUAUCAAUUUUUCACCCCCAUUUAUUCUGUAACUUCAUGUUGUUUUGUUUUCUUUAUGAUAAACUGUGGUUAUUAGUUGUUUGGUUUAGCUAUUGUCAACAAUAAAAAAGAAGAAGACUAGAUAAACACAUCGAAUUAAAAGCAAUUUAAUGAACAGAUUCUAAUUUUAAAAAUUAAUAAAAAAUACACUUGUUUUAAUUGGAUAUAUAAAAAUAUAUAGAUCCAAAUAAACAAAAUAUUUUUAUUAUUUCUUUCAUCAUAAAAAUCCACCUGUCGACUUGAUGAUAUAUACACUCAGUCACUAAAUAUAAAAUCAAGAUGGGGUUUUAUUAAAAUUGAGUUAAACACAUAAAAAGGGUUGAAAAUACUUUUAUCAACAAGUUUCAGCUGUUCGGUAACCGUAAAGAUACGUCGUGCAAUUACAAUUUCAAAAAAAUAUGUUUGUUUAAAAAGCAAUUAUUUUUUUUUUCUAUUUAUUUGUAUUAGAGUGGCGUAGCAACAGAAGAAGCACACGUCUGGAAUAUCAACACUUUCAACAACAGGUUGUAUGUUAUCGUUUUGUUUACAGGGGUAAAGAAAACAUGUUGGGAGUAAUUUAUUUGAGAGACACUUUCUUAUACAUAAAAAAUAUGUUAUGUUGAUGCUUUUACGAAAGUAUAAACUUUCAAUGGCUAUUUAAUAGUAAAAAAACAUUUAAAAAAAGGAUAUCUUAUAAAUAUGAAACUAAUUUAUUUAUUAGGUAGUUUAUAUAAUUCAUUUUUCAUUAUUUUCUAAUUACAUAACAUAAACAAAAUUCAAAAGUCAACGAACUGGACACGUCAUGUUUCAAUUUCAAUCGAUUGACAGAUCAUAGAUAAUAGAAAAGUAAAAAGGUUAACUAAAAAUUAAAUAUGAAGUAGGUUUAUUUUUUUUCUACCAGAAUCGCGAAUUACAUGCUAUGAAUAAAUAAAAUAUUUUGUCUCUAUGUAAUCUAUGUUUAAAUGUAUUUUGUCGCGCUGUACAUCGAUAAAGUAGGAAUCAUUUUGCGCUAUAGAGGAGAUGUGAAAUAGAAAAAUUAAAGAAUCAAUGUAAAAAGAUAAGUGGAGUGGUUAUACAGUUGUUGAAUAUCUUUAUAGGACACAAGUGUAAAGUUUAUUUGUUGUUUCUUCAUUUUACCAUAAGGUAUUUAUAUAUUAAGUAGAUAAUAAUUCGUUUUAUAAUAUGAAAAGAUAUUAGUUUUGUUUGUUUUGAUUACAAAAAACAUUUUUUUAAUAACAAUGAAGUACUUAUCAUAGUUAAUGUAAUUAAAUGUAAAAUUAAAGGUAAAUUUGUAUCUAUAAGGAUUUAGUGAAACUUGUGGGGGUGGGAACAGAUUUUUAAUGAGACGAUUUUGAUUCAAAAUUAAUUUUUUUAUUUUUGAAAGAAAACGACUAGAUUAAUAUUUUUUAUUUAUUAAUUUUGUAUGAAGUAAUUAUAUAAAUAUAAUUUAUACAAUUAUCAAUACCAUGUUGUAAAAAACAUAAUAUAUAUAUAAUAUAACUAAACAGAUAACUUAAUAUUAUUAUAGUCUUAUAUAAAGUAAAUUACAUCACUGCUCGUCGGUUUCAGACUUUAUGAGCCCUUUUUUCUAGAACAAAAAAUAAUUUUAUAAACAAAUUUACUAAAACUGAUUUAUAUAAUGAUAUAUAAAAGAAAAUUUGUUUUUUUUUUAUUGAAACCGUAAGACCAAGACAAUAAAAACAGAUUUUGGUUACUAACUUAGCAUAUUCUAACCUAACUUCUUAUAUGUUAAAACCCAAAGUGCAUUUUGUAAUAUUUUCUACAUUUAAUUUUAUAUGUUAUAUAAUAGUAUAAAAAUUUAAGUAAAAUUACAAUAAAAACCAUACCUUUAGUUUUUCUUUGGAACAUAUGAUUCUGAGCAAAUAUUUUUUGCUGACAUCGGCGAUACAACUCUACAUUCACAAUCUAAACCUUCUUGGUAAUUGGCGAUCGUGUCUACAACAUUGUAAGCGGCUACGUGAGCAAAAUUUUUGCGUUGAUCGGCUUUGGCAUCUAAGAAGUUGUUUGAAACAAAAACGUUACCACGAUUCUAAAAUAAAAAACAUUUAAUCAAACAACAAUAAGGUGUUUAUAAUAUUAUUUAUAUAAUUCAUGAUAAAAUUAACCAUUUGAAAUUAGAAAUUGAUCAUAUUUAUGACGUUGAAUCUUUUAAAGUCUCUCAAAAAGAAGGAAAAUGAUUUAAAAUCCAAAUGAAUCGCUUCGAAAUACCACAUCAUUCAAUAAGUCGUGUGACUAACUAAGAAAAACACAUUUUUUUUGCCAAAAAUCAAUUUAAUUAUCAAUGUAAUCUCCUUCAAAAGCAAUACAAUCAUUCCAACGCUUCUCUAACUUCUCAAUGGCUUCAGUUUUAGCGAAUGCUUCUCAUUUGAGCUGAAUUUUUCAACGGUGAGCAUUUUUUUGAGAUUAGCGAAUAGCCAGUAGUCACUGGGGGCCAGAUCUGGAUUAUACGGUGGAUGAGAAAGCGAUUCGAAGUGUAAUUCGUUCGCUGCAUUGUUUUAGUAAAACGGUAGUUUUUCUCUCCCAUUUGGAGAUGGUUGAUAAACGAUAUUUCAUGCGCAUCUCAAAAAAACUGAAACCAUAACCUUCCCAGUUGACUGUUGUGUCUUCGGACGUGGUUCACGUGGUGAUGAUAUAUCUUCGAAUUUAAAAAAAUGGACCGGAUGGAAUGGAUUUGAAGAUAUCGUUCAUGGGGAUACCAGAAACUCGCGAACACGGCCAAAACAAGCCAGUUACAAGCGUUUCCAGAGAUAAGAAAAUGCAAUUCUGUUCCUAUGAUAACUGAAGUGAUCAGCAAGACAUGGUUUGUCAAAAAGUUAGGAAUAUCUCUGGUAUGUAUGUAAGUAUGAUUCAUAAACCAAAUCUGCUGUCGAAAUCGCGUAAUGUAGCAACGAAGCAACCCUUCACCUAGUAGAAUGUUUUAACGGCGAAGUCGACAAUUAUAGAGAAUUUUUUUAAGCCGUAUCAACACACAUCAACAUCGUAUUCUCCAAAAUUGAAGCAUUGAUCUUAACUCCAAAUUCGGAUUGGAAUAAGACAGGAUUUGGAUACGUUUAGGCUGACAUAGUAUGAUUGGUUCAUUUAGUUUAUAAUCGUAACGAAUAAUCGAUUAUUAUUCAUUCAUUCAUAACUCAAUAAAAACCAAUCGAGAUACGUUGUACUUAAAAACUUGGAAUUGGCAAAAAAUUUACCUUAACAGUAAAAUCAACGCAAUAAUCAUCGUAUUGAAGGUCUUUAUAAAGUUCGGCUGAGCCAUCUGGUUUUUUCUUUCCUUGACUAAACGUGAAAACGUGUUCGCUGUUGAAACCAAUCACAUCAGACGUUUUCUUCUGGUCUUUGACGUGGAAAUUUUCGAAUGGAGUGAACAAGUGUAUGGAGAUUUGAUUGUUCUUGAAUAAUAAAGUUCUAAGUUUCUGUAGCUGAAAAAACAAAAAAUAAUAACAACAUAUUUCGAUGUAUUACAAAUUUUAUGGAUGGGAAAAGUCAAUAAUCAUACUUGCAGGAUGGACGCAAAAAAAGACAAUUUAAAUGAGAAUGAAACAACGGAGGAAAGGAAAAUGAGGUUAGUGAACACUAAGAAAAACACAGAAAAUGAUGAUGAAGAAUUGUAUAAGAAAAAGAGGUGAUGGAAAAUACUUGCCUGUGAAAGAAAAGUUUGAAAAAAUGGAUCGAACAUGACACGGAAUCCCAUUUGGACUCCUCAAAGGAAAUAACGAAGGCAGCGCUGACGCCUACUUUGAAGGAAAAACUCGAUAAUUUCAGAUAGAACAUAGACACAAAGAAGUCAAUUCAGAUAAGAACGAAUUCCCAAAAA